CUUCAAAGGAUUGAAAUGGGCAUGCGUUUUAGUACGGGGAACAGUCCACGAGAGGCGCUGGCGGCAUGUUUUUAAAUUUAAAACAAUAUCUAUGAAAAUAAUAAAUAAAAGCGCUUCGGUUACUUUGACAACUUGAAACGUCAAAAAUUAAUUAUCGUCUCGAUUCCCGUGCUUUCCCAACCGUUCUGUUCUGCUAUCUUGGUCUUUGAGCCACAGUUUUUCGAUUAAUUUGCUCUGUUAGUUUUGUUUUCGUUACUUUUAUAUAUAUUUUUGGUGUUCGCGUUCUCUUUAUUGUUGUUUUUGUGUUGCUGUUUGGUGUUUCUUGUUUUACUGUUUGUUCCCCGUUCAAUUAAGGACUUUAUAAGUUAGAGGAUGGUGAAGUACCGCAAGUGUGCCGUUGUAACCUGCGAUGAUCGCCAAUCCCCGCGACAUCGCUUUCCAAAUCCCCGUAAAUUCAAAAGCCGUUUUGAACGAUGGAUUGAGCUUUGCGGAGAUAAAGAUCUUCAUGUUAAGAAUGCAGACCUGGUGUAUCGCUCCCACCGUAUUUGUGACAGGCAUUUUCUUGUGGAAGAUCGGUCGUCUAAUAUGUUGCUGAAAAAGGAUGUGUUGCCAAGUCUUUUUUUGCCUCUCCAUUUUCCUGUAUCAGAUUCAAAUUUAGAUCCUGUUUCUUCUCAAGAAGACACGGUUGCAGGUAAAAUUUACAUAUUUACGUAUUUCUCUCUUUUUCAUGGUGAAAUAAAAACUACAUUUUGGCGAA